GACGAACGCUGGCGGCGUGCUUAACACAUGCAAGUCGAACGGAAAGGCCCUGCUUUUGUGGGUUGCUCGAGUGGCGAACGGGUGAGUAACACGUGAGUAACCUGCCCUUGACUUUGGGAUAACUUCAGGAAACUGGGGCUAAUACCGGAUAGGAGCUCCUGCUGCAUGGUGGUGGUUGGAAAGUUUCGGCGGUUGUGGAUGGACUCGCGGCUUAUCAGCUUGUUGGUGGGGUAGUGGCUUACCAAGGCUUUGACGGGUAGCCGGCCUGAGAGGGUGAACGGCGACAUUGGGACUGAGAUACGGCCCAGACGCCUACGGGAGGCAGCAGUGGGGAAUAUUGCACAAUGGGCGGAAGCCUGAUGCAGCAACGCCGCGUGCGGGAUGACGGCCUUCGGGUUGUAAACCGCUUUCGCCUGUGACGAAGCGUGAGUGACGGUAAUGGGUAAAGAAGCACCGGCUAACUACGUG
rnacentral:rRNA from 1 species